UACGUAGGUGGCAAGCGUUGUCCGGAAUUAUUGGGCGUAGAGCGCGCGCAGGCGGUCCUUUAAGUCUGAUGUGAAAGCCCACGGCUCAACCGUGGAGGGUCAUUGGAAACUGGAGGACUUGAGUACAGAAGAGGAAAGCGGAAUUCCACGUGUAGCGGUGAAAUGCGUAGAGAUGUGGAGGAAUACCAGUGGCGAGGGCGGCUUUCUGGUCUGUAACUGACGCUGAGGAGCGAAAGCAUGAGUAGCAAACAGG
rnacentral:misc_RNA from 1 species